AAAGCUGUGAUGCAACACUGCUAAACCCAAUUCUACACUGUAAAAAAUCCAAGAAAGGAAAAUUUGUGGUUAUGAAGAAAAAAAUGUUGGUGCAACAAUUGAGUUAAAAAAUGUCCUAAAAUAGAAAAAUGUGUUGAAUAGAUGAAUAUGCAAUAAUCGCCAUUAAACUUAAAAUAUUUUAUUAAGUGAAAUAAUGUUUCUGUACUUAGUCAGCUUUGCAGGUUUGACAAAAAAAUACAUGUUGGCUGAGCAAAAUCCUGGUACUUUUCAUCUACUGAGCAUGCACAAAGCGAGGAGUAAAUUCAAACAUUCUGGAUUUUUCCAAACGACGAACGGCACAAUUUCUUUGCAUUGAUUUGUCGAAAGCAACGUUAAAUGAAUGGUCUUACAUUAACAGAUGUUUAAUUCACAACAAAACUCAAUGCUGUGCUGCUAUAGUAAAUUUUCCAUGCAACAGGAUCAGCCAACGUUAUCCACAAUUAAACAAUGGCCAGGGUUUUUGUUGAAGAACAGGUUUAUGCCGAAUUUCUAUGCAUAACCUGCGUUAAUCAUGAAGUUAGCACUCCUAACAUCACUGGACAGUUGUACUUUGGGCUUGCUUAUGAUGUUACAGAGCUCAAGAGGAAAUGGAGAAUCUACUAGAAAAACAGGAU